GAGGACACAUAUAAUUAAUAGCAUAUUCACUGUAAUUAUUGUGUACAUUUAGUACACCAAAAGUCUAGAACUGGUUCACAUUAUUGAUGAAGGAUAAUCAAUAUAACAUUCAUGAAUCCAAAUGAUCGAAUUCUAAAUAAAGCAAAUCUUCUUAGGUUUCAAUUUCCAGAAAUAUCAUAAGUUGGCAAAAAAGGAAGAACUACCUAAAGAAAAUAAAAUGAUUUAUAAGCGAUAAGAUAGAAGAAAUCAAAACAAUAUGGGCACUAGUAGAACCAAAAUGAUUAUCUGCAAAGAAAUUGCGAUGAAAUUAAAUCGAAUAAAAUGUCUAAGAACCAAAAAAAAAGAAUAAAUCGUUAAGAUUUUCAUCUCACCAAUAUCAUGCUAUACAUCGAUUUGCUUUCGUAGGUAUUAUAUAGUUUGGGUAAAAAAGGGAUGAUUAGAUAUGAUAAUGUGUCGUAAUAUUAAAGGAAAAAAAAAAUGUAAGCAGAGUUAUUGGGUUUCAUAGAUUUGUGAUCAAACUAUUUUAAUUUUUAAUUCCAAAUGAACAUAAAAAAAAUUAAUUUGGACUUUGGAGGUAGAUAAAAUCUGGCAAACCUGGUUGUGUCCAACGUUCCAGAGUCAAGACAUGGAGAAUAGUAGAAACAACAAACAAGAUCAACAAUUCAACAAAUAAAUACCAGAGAAUCCAACAAGUAGCAACGGAGGGAGAAGUGGAGAAGAGAUUCCCGGAGUCCGGAGAAGAGAGUCCCGAAGUGGAGAAGAUGGAUUUAGG
rnacentral:lncRNA from 1 species